GGGAAUCUUACGCGAGGCAGCAGUGCGGAAUAUUGGGCAAUGGGGGCAACCCUGACCCAGCGACGCUGGGAGAAGGACGAAGGCAUUCGUGUUGUAAACUUCUUUGGAGAGGGACGAAAAUGACGGUACCUCUCGAACAAGCCACGGCUAACUACGUGCCAGCAGCCGCGGUAAUACGUAGGUGGCAAGCGUUAUCCGGAAUUACUGGGUGUAAAGGGCGCGCAGGCGGCCCUGCAAGUCGGAUGUGAAAGAUCAAGGCUCAACCNUGGCAGGCCAUUCGAAACUGUGGGGCUUGAGUGUCAGAGGGGAAAGUGGAAUUCCUAGUGUAGCGGUGAAAUGCGCAGAUAUUAGGAGGAACACCGGUGGCGAAGGCGACUUUCUGGCCGACAACUGACGCUGAGGCGCGAAAGC
rnacentral:rRNA from 1 species